CCAGCUCACCUUCUCUGAGAGCUCAACAGUGAGCACAACAACACCCCCCGCUAAUAAGACAGGUCAAGGUAUAGCCUAUGGAGAGGAAGAAAUGGGCUACAUUCUCUAAGAUAGAGUACUGACGAAAAGGGGCCUGAAAUAGCCCCUAGAAGGA
rnacentral:rRNA from 1 species